rnacentral:rRNA from 1 species
GACGAACGCUGGCGGCGUGCCUAAUACAUGCAAGUAGAACGCUGAAGAGAGGAGCUUGCUCUUCUUGGAUGAGUUGCGAACGGGUGAGUAACGCGUAGGUAACCUGCCUUGUAGCGGGGGAUAACUAUUGGAAACGAUAGCUAAUACCGCAUAACAAUGGAUGACACAUGUCAUUUAUUUGAAAGGGGCAAUUGCUCCACUACAAGAUGGACCUGCGUUGUAUUAGCUAGUAGGUGAGGUAACGGCUCACCUAGGCGACGAUACAUAGCCGACCUGAGAGGGUGAUCGGCCACACUGGGACUGAGACACGGCCCAGACUCCUACGGGAGGCAGCAGUAGGGAAUCUUCGGCAAUGGGGGCAACCCUGACCGAGCAACGCCGCGUGAGUGAAGAAGGUUUUCGGAUCGUAAAGCUCUGUUGUAAGUCAAGAACGAGUGUGAGAGUGGAAAGUUCACACUGUGACGGUAGCUUACCAGAAAGGGACGGCUAACUACGUGCCAGCAGCCGCGGUAAUACGUAGGUCCCGAGCGUUGUCCGGAUUUAUUGGGCGUAAAGCGAGCGCAGGCGGUUUGAUAAGUCUGAAGUUAAAGGCUGUGGCUCAACCAUAGUUCGCUUUGGAAACUGUCAAACUUGAGUGCAGAAGGGGAGAGUGGAAUUCCAUGUGUAGCGGUGAAAUGCGUAGAUAUAUGGAGGAACACCGGUGGCGAAAGCGGCUCUCUGGUCUGUAACUGACGCUGAGGCUCGAAAGCGUGGGGAGCGAACAGGAUUAGAUACCCUGGUAGUCCACGCCGUAAACGAUGAGUGCUAGGUGUUGGAUCCUUUCCGGGAUUCAGUGCCGCAGCUAACGCAUUACGCACUCCGCCUGGGGAGUACGACCGCAAGGUUGAAACUCAAAGGAAUUGACGGGGGCCCGCACAAGCGGUGGAGCAUGUGGUUUAAUUCGAAGCAACGCGAAGAACCUUACCAGGUCUUGACAUCCCGAUGCUAUUUCUAGAGAUAGAAAGUUACUUCGGUACAUCGGUGACAGGUGGUGCAUGGUUGUCGUCAGCUCGUGUCGUGAGAUGUUGGGUUAAGUCCCGCAACGAGCGCAACCCCUAUUGUUAGUUGCCAUCAUUCAGUUGGGCACUCUAGCGAGACUGCCGGUAAUAAACCGGAGGAAGGUGGGGAUGACGUCAAAUCAUCAUGCCCCUUAUGACCUGGGCUACACACGUGCUACAAUGGUUGGUACAACGAGUUGCGAGUCGGUGACGGCAAGCUAAUCUCUUAAAGCCAAUCUCAGUUCGGAUUGUAGGCUGCAACUCGCCUACAUGAAGUCGGAAUCGCUAGUAAUCGCGGAUCAGCACGCCGCGGUGAAUACGUUCCCGGGCCU